GCUCCCGUCAACCUGGGCGCUGGCGUUCUGACACACUGCCUGAGCUCCCCCUGCUGGCCUGUUUGCAGAAUUUCAUCAUCUGUGUCCAAAGUGGAAUCAGAUUACGGUAAUGAAGAUGCUUAUACAAAUGAAAGAACUGAGUGAUAUUUAUGGCUUCCUGUUGAGAAGAGAAAUAGAAUUUGGUAGAAAAUCUGAGCAAGUGAUCGUGACUUGCAUCUUUGCUGCCCUCAGUCAGCCAUCUGCAAGUGCGCCAACCUUCUCACUGGGCCUCCACCCUCUGUUUGAUCAAGAUGACCGUGAUCACUGAGAGAUCUGCUCACCUGAAGAUCACACUGAUGGGCCAGGAUUCACAGGACACGUUCACAUCAUAACACAAAUUCCCAUCCUGUAACUUCAUGGCACACUGGGAGUCAACAAUACCCCUGGAAGACAUUCCUGCACCUGGAUGGCUAGCAGUAAUUUAAUUCCACUUGAAAUUGAUGUGAAUCAAAUAAAUAUAUCCCACUAAAUUCAAAUCUCUUUUCCCAGAUCGCCCAAAUGCCUCAGGCCACUGUGAUCCACCCAACAGGAGAGAAAAUGUGAUAGAAGGUAAGGAAG